GACGAACGCUGGCGGCGUGCUUAACACAUGCAAGUCGAACGGAAAGGCCCUGCUUUUGUGGGGUGCUCGAGUGGCGAACGGGUGAGUAACACGUGAGUAACCUGCCCUUGACUUUGGGAUAACUUCAGGAAACUGGGGCUAAUACCGGAUAGGAGCUCCUGCUGCAUGGUGGGGGUUGGAAAGUUUCGGCGGUUGGGGAUGGACUCGCGGCUUAUCAGCUUGUUGGUGGGGUAGUGGCUUACCAAGGCUUUGACGGGUAGCCGGCCUGAGAGGGUGACCGGCCACAUUGGGACGGAGAUACGGCCCAGACUCCUACGGGAGGCAGCAGUGGGGAAUAUUGCACAAUGGGCGGAAGCCUGAUGCAGCAACGCCGCGUGCGGGAUGACGGCCUUCGGGUUGUAAACCGCUUUCGCCGGUGACGAAGCGUGAGUGACGGUAAUGGGUAAAGAAGCACCGGCUAACUACGUG
rnacentral:rRNA from 1 species